rnacentral:rRNA from 1 species
GUGGGGAAUAUUGGACAAUGGGGGCAACCCUGAUCCAGCAAUGCCGCGUGUGUGAAGAAGGUUUUCGGAUUGUAAAGCACUUUCGGCGGGGACGAUGAUGACGGUACCCGCAGAAGAAGCCCCGGCUAACUUCGUGCCAGCAGCCGCGGUAAUACGAAGGGGGCUAGCGUUGCUCGGAAUGACUGGGCGUAAAGGGCGUGUAGGCGGUUUGUACAGUCAGAUGUGAAAUCCCCGGGCUUAACCUGGGAGCUGCAUUUGAGACGUGCAGACUAGAGUGUGAGAGAGGGUUGUGGAAUUCCCAGUGUAGAGGUGAAAUUCGUAGAUAUUGGGAAGAACACCGGUGGUGAAGGCGGCAACCUGGCUCAUUACUGACGCUGAGGCGCGAAAGCGUGGGGAGCAAACAGGAUUAGAUACCCUUGUAGUCC